AGAGUUUGAUCCUGGCUCAGAACGAACGCUGGCGGCGUGCUUAACACAUGCAAGUCGCGUGCGCAGUUCGCGUAGCAAUACGUGGAUGGGCGCACGGCGCACGGGUGCGUAACACGUGGGCAACCUGCCCUCUGAUGGGGAAUAACCCCGCGAAAGCGGGGCUAAUACCGCAUAACAUUCCUUGGAUUAUGGUUUGAGGAAUCAAAGCAGUGAUGCGUCGGAGGAGGGGCCCGCGCCCGAUUAGGUAGUUGGUGAGGUAACGGCUCACCAAGCCAAUGAUCGGUAGCUGGUCUGAGAGGAUGAUCAGCCACACUGGAACUGAGACACGGUCCAGACUCCUACGGGAGGCAGCAGUGGGGAAUCUUGCACAAUGGGCGAAAGCCUGAUGCGGCGACGCCGCGUGGGGGAUGAAGCUUUUCGGAGUGUAAACCCCUUUCGACCGGGACGAAUGCCCGCAAGGGAGUGACGGUACCGGUAUAAGAAGCCCCGGCUAACUACGUGCCAGCAGCCGCGGUAAGACGUAGGGGGCCAGCGUUGUUCGGAAUUACUGGGUGUAAAGGGGUCGUAGGCGGUGUGGCAAGUCGGGAGUGAAAUCUCUGG
rnacentral:rRNA from 1 species